rnacentral:rRNA from 1 species
GGUAUUGAAAUAAGAUUUUAAAUGAGUGCUAAGAGAAUGAUUGAACAAUUAUAGGCUUUCUUUAGUUAAAUAAUUAAAUUUAAUUUUUUUAGUGCAAAAGCAAAAAUUAAAUUUAGGGACAAGAAGACCCUAUGAAUUUUAAUUUAAUUUAUAAUUUGAAAUUUUAAAUUAAAUUUGAUUGGGGCGAUGGAAAAAGAAUGAGUAUCUUUUUUAGUUUUAAAAAUUGGUUCCGUUUUUAACGAUUAAAUGAGAAAAAUACUCUAGGGAUAACAGCGUAAUAAUUUUGGAUAGUUCUUAUAGAUAAAAUAGUUUGCGACCUCGAUGUUGGAUUAGGAUUC